GGUCAAUUAGCUCAGUUGGUUAGAGCGCACGAUUCACAUUCGUGAGGUCGCUGGUUCAAGUCCAGCAUUGACCA
rnacentral:tRNA from 1 species